rnacentral:rRNA from 1 species
AUUGAACGCUGGCGGCAUGCCUAACACAUGCAAGUCGAACGGAGGUAGGGGCAACUCUACUUCAGUGGCGGACGGGUGAGGAAUGCGUCGGAAUCUACCCUAUGGUGGGGGAUAACACAGGGAAACUUGUGCUAAUACCGCAUAAUGUCGAGAGACCAAAGCAGGGGACCGCAAGGCCUUGCGCGAUAGGAUGAGCCGACGCCCGAUUAGCUAGUUGGUAGGGUAAAGGCCUAUCAAGGCGACGAUCGGUAGCUGGUCUGAGAGGAUGAUCAGCCACACUGGGACUGAGACACGGCCCAGACUCCUACGGGAGGCAGCAGUGGGGAAUAUUGGACAAUGGGCGCAAGCCUGAUCCAGCAAUGCCGCGUGUGUGAAGAAGGCCUGCGGGUUGUAAAGCACUUUUGUUCGGGAGGAAAUCAUGCUGGUUAAUACCUGGUAUGGAUGACGGUACCGAAAGAAUAAGCACCGGCUAACUUCGUGCCAGCAGCCGACGG